ACAGUGCCUACCGCGUUCAGGUCGCUUCCUCUCAUCGUGGGGGCAUUUUAUCAUCUGACGACAAACACCACGGCAACAAGUAGGAUGUUUUCGUUUCAUCCGUUAAAGCUGAAAUCGAGUCUGGGAUGCAUUUUUGAGGCUCUUACCAAGAUGUCAUAAGAAACCCCAAUGGAGGCCAUGGCCUAAGUGCUCUCCACUUCUUGUCUGCUGCCUCCUGACUACUCUGGAGUUUCUCCAUAAUGGUGCUGGGUGGUGUGCUCUGUCUCCUGUCUCUAGGACCCAUAGGAAGCAGAAGCUACCUAAGAUACUGUUACUGAGGAUGAACUCAGUACAUUGAAUUACUACUGGGGCAACUCUCCUUUUUCCCAGUGGCAUUGGCUCCAUCCAUUGAACAGAUAAGGAGCGGAGGCACACAAGAUGGGACAUGUCUGAUAAGGAAGCAACCAAUUUCCAAUGGCAAGGAGUCUUGGGGAAGAAGAAAUUCUUCAAAGACAUAAUGUAUAGUAAUCGCAUUUAUCUACAGCCAAGAUCUAAUAGAAAAGUUUAUAGAUGGCAGGGAUCUUACGAGAGUAUGUUUCCUUAUUCAGUUUUUCUGUGUUAAGAUUUUAGCUUCAGACUAGCUACAGUUUGGGGGAAUUCUGUCUUCUCAGUUAAUCAGUAAAUGGUCAACAUUUUAAGACAUGCCACCCUUCUGAAAUCAAAGUUCAAGUAGAACAUUUUCAGUCAGUUGCCUAGUUUUCAAGUGUUGAAUCGUGAUUAGUGCUGACUAAGGGGCAGUGGGGCAGGAGGUAGGAGAGAAGGAUUCAUGCCCUCACACAGGUCAUGUGGCUAACAAUAGCUCCAUUUUAGGACUGCCGAGCUUUCUAAGUCCCUGUGUCAGAAUCCCUAACCAAUGGGAGAGAGAGAAGCUUGAACUGCCCCUUUUAAUUUAGUGGGAGAAGAAUGUUUGGAAUGUCAUUUGCGUAAGUGUGACCUCAGCUCAGUACAACAUGUCCAGACAGGUGAGACAGGAUCCACCAUCCUGCAGGUAGUAGUCUCGACGGUGUAAUUUUAACAUUUCAAUUACAGAAAUUCUUAUGGAAUAAUAUUCUCACAGGUGAGACUAAAAGGUAAUGUGAUUCAUAGAAAAAUCGACAAGCAUAACAGAAUGUAUACAAUAAAAUAAAUGUUGACUCUUCUCAGAGGUGACAAGUUUUAUCUGUGGAGAAUAGGUUUGAAUUUUAGAAAGAGACCAAAAUGUAGGUAGCUUGGAAGUGG